rnacentral:lncRNA from 1 species
AGUGGGCGUGCAGGAGAAGCUGUAGGUCAGGAGGUAGAGUUGGCAGUGGGCGUGCAGGAGAAGCUGUAGGUCGGAGAGGUAGAGGUGGCAGUGGGCGUGCAGGAGAAGCUGUAGGUCAGGGGGUAGAGGUGGCAGUGGGCGUGCAGGAGAAGCUGUAGGUCAGAGUGGAUAGGUGGCAGUGGGCGUGCAGGAGAAGCUGUAGGUCAGGAGGUAGAGGUGGCAGUGGGCGUGCAGGAGAAGCUGUAGGUCAGGAGGUAGAGGUGGCAGUGGGCGUGCAGGAGAAGCUGUAGGUCAGGAGGUAGAGUUGGCAGUGGGCGUGCAGGAGAAGCUGUAGGUCGGAGAGGUAGAGGUGGCAGUGGGCGUGCAGGAGAAGCUGUAGGUCGGAGAGGUAGAGGUGGCAGUGGGCGUGCAGGAGAAGCUGUAGGUCGGGGGGUAGAGGUGGCAGUGGGCGUGCAGGAGAAGCUGUAGGUCAGAGUGGAGAGGU